GCACUGGUAGUCUAGUGGUUAGGAUUGCAGCCUUCCAAGCUGUGGACGCGGGUUCGAAUCCCGCCCAGUGCA
rnacentral:tRNA from 1 species